UGGGGAAUAUUGGACAAUGGGCGCAAGCCUGAUCCAGCAAUGCCGCGUGUGUGAAGAAGGCCUUCGGGUUGUAAAGCACUUUUAUCAGGAGCGAAACGCUGUCGGCUAAUACCCGGCGGAACUGACGGUACCUGAGGAAUAAGCACCGGCUAACUUCGUGCCAGCAGCCGCGGUAAUACGAAGGGUGCAAGCGUUAAUCGGAAUUACUGGGCGUAAAGCGUGCGUAGGCGGUUUCUUAAGUCUGCUGUGAAAUCCCCGGGCUCAACCUGGGAAUGGCAGUGGAUACUGGGAGGCUAGAGUGUGUCAGAGGGUGGUGGAAUUCCCGGUGUAGCGGUGAAAUGCGUAGAGAUCGGGAGGAACAUCAGUGGCGAAGGCGGCCACCUGGGACAACACUGACGCUGAGGCACGAAAGCGUGGGGAGCAAACAGGAUUAGAUACCCUGGUAGUCCACGCCCUAAAAGCGAUGCGAACUGGAUGUUGGUCUCAACUCGGAGAUCAGUGUCGAAGCUAACGCGUUAAGUUCGCCGCCUGGGGAGUACGGUCGCAAGACUGAAACUUAAAUGAAUUGACGGGGUCAUAGCUGUUUCCUG
rnacentral:rRNA from 1 species